GCAGGGGUGGCGGAGCUUGGUCAAACGCGUUGGGUUUAGGGCCCAAUCCCUUAGGGGUUCGCCGGUUCAAAUCCGGCCUCCUGCA
rnacentral:tRNA from 1 species